UCUUCAGACUGGGAGUGUGGUUCCAAGCGGAGGUCAUCAGGCUGCAAGUCUGGCUAGGCAGCCAGGGGCCUGGUUCACAUAGGGCUGGCCGUGUGAACUACAAAGUACCAAAAGUCCCAUUGUGGAAGCCAGCAGGUGGACGGACUCCUUAUCAUCUGCCCUCUCUGCUGGGAUUCCAGGAAAAGUCAAGGGCCAUGGAGGCAAGCCAAGACCAUCCCUGUGAGGAGUGGAAGGGAGGGCCAAAGAGUCCUGGAACCCACUUCCGUCUGCCAUUGCGUGGAAUAAUUCCUUCAACUCCACCAGAAAGGCUUACUGCCCAUGUCUUUCCCACCCAGGGCUCCCAGGUCCCCACCCUGGCCACACCUGGUCAAGCUUGCUGGGCAGCACAGGCUGAGGUUGCCAUCUUGACUCCUGAUUCCAUCCCUGUCUUCUCCAGGCUGUGUGCUGGGGCACGACUGUCGUGACAAAUUCCUACCUUGCUGCCCCAGUGAGCUAUUCUUAUUGGUCAACCUAUGGAUGGGUGGCCAAGCCCUCCUUUGUGAAGCCGUAAAUCUACACCUGCCUGAGGUCUGAGAAGGCCCACAAGGCCUAGUUGAAUGCAAAUUUGGCCCUGGAGCCCAGAGCUUGGUGGAAGGAGGGGCAAGUGUG